rnacentral:rRNA from 1 species
UACGAAGGGGGCUAGCGUUGCUCGGAUUGACUGGGCGUAAAGGGCGCGUAGGCGGUUCGUACAGUCAGACGUGAAAUUCCUGGGCUCAACCUGGGGGCUGCGUUUGAUACGUGCGGACUUGAGUGCGGAAGAGGGUCGUGGAAUUCCCAGUGUAGAGGUGAAAUUCGUAGAUAUUGGGAAGAACACCGAUGGCGAAGGCGGCGACCUGGUCCGAUACUGACGCUGAGGCGCGAAAGCGUGGGGAGCAAACAGG